rnacentral:rRNA from 1 species
GACGUAGGGUGCAAGCGUUGUCCGGAUUUAUUGGGCGUAAAGAGCUCGUAGGCGGCUUGUUGCGUCGACUGUGAAAACCCGCGGCUUAACCGCGGGCUUGCAGUUGAUACGGGCAGGCUAGAGUUCGGUAGGGGAGACUGGAAUUCCUGGUGUAGCGGUGAAAUGCGCAGAUAUCAGGAGGAACACCGGUGGCGAAGGCGGGUCUCUGGGCCGAUACUGACGCUGAGGAGCGAAAGCGUGGGGAGCAAACGGG